GGGGAGCGUUCUGUAAGCCUGUGAAGGUGGCCUGUGAGGGUUGCUGGAGGUAUCAGAAGUGCGAAUGCUGACAUAAGUAACGAUAAAGCGGGUGAAAAGCCCGCUCGCCGGAAGACCAAGGGUUCCUGUCCAACGUUAAUCGGGGCAGGGUGAGUCGACCCCUAAGGCGAGGCCGAAAGGCGUAGUCGAUGGGAAACGGGUUAAUAUUCCCGUACUUGGUGUUACUGCGAAGGGGGGACGGAGAAGGCUAUGUUGGCCGGGCGACGGUUGUCCCGGUUUAAGCGUGUAGGUGUGUGUUCCAGGUAAAUCCGGUUCACUUUAACACUGAGGCGUGAUGACGAGGCACUACGGUGCUGAAGCAACAAAUGCCCUGCUUCCAGGAAAAGCCUCUAAGCAUCAGGUAACAUCAAAUCGUACCCCAAACCGACACAGGUGGUCAGGUAGAGAAUACCAAGGCGCUUGAGAGAACUCGGGUGAAGGAACUAGGCAAAAUGGUGCCGUAACUUCGGGAGAAGGCACGCUGACAC
rnacentral:rRNA from 1 species